rnacentral:rRNA from 2 species
UUGGAGGGCAAGUCUGGUGCCAGCAGCCGCGGUAAUUCCAGCUCCAAUAGCGUAUAUUAAAGUUGUUGCAGUUAAAAAGCUCGUAGUUGAAUUUCGGAAUUUUUUUAUCGGUUGAAUCAACAGGUUCGUACUGAUUUUAAGAAUUUCUACCUUCUGGAGAACCUUAAUGUCAUUUAUUUGGUGUUUUGGGAAACCAGGACUGUUACCUUGAAAAAAUUAGAGUGUUUAAAGCAGGCUUUUGUCUGAAUAUAUUAGCAUGGAAUAAUGAAAUAGGACGGCAUGGUUCUAUUUUGUUGGUUUCUAGGAUCACCGUAAUGAUUAAUAGGGAUAGUUGGGGGCAUUAGUAUUCAAUUGUCAGAGGUGAAAUUCUUGGAUUUAUUGAAGACUAACUUCUGCGAAAGCAUUUGCCAAGGAUGUUUUCAUUAAUCAAGAACGAAAGUUAGGGGAUCGAAGACGAUCAGAUACCGUCGUAGUCUUAACCAUAAACUAUGCCGACUAGGAAUCGGACGAAGUUAAUUUUUUAAUGACUCGUUCGGCGCCUUACGGGAAAC